rnacentral:tRNA from 1 species
GGCAUGAUGGCCGAGUUGUAGGCGGUAAAUUGUAAAUUUACUUACGAGAGAGUCUCUUUUGCCA